AAAUCGGUGCUCCACACGGGGCUUCGAAUUGUAGUCUAUAGACGCAGCGUCAGUAGUGACCCAGGUAUAAAUCUUUUGAAACAAGGUAUCAUAGAGGGUGAGAAUCCCGUCUACGACUUGGAGUUCACUGCGUACGACCUGUGUUCAAAGAGUCGAGUUGCUUGGGAUUGCAGCUCUAAUUGGGUGGUAAAUUUCAUCUAAAGCUAAAUAACGAUCAGAGACCGAUAGCGAACAAGUACCGUGAGGGAAAGAUGAAAAGAACUUUGAAAAGAGAGUUAAAAAGUACUUGAAAUUGUUAAGAAGGAAGCGCUGGAAACCAGUCGUGCCGGUUGGCGUAUCAGCCCAUCCGUGGAUUUGAUGCAGUAAGCCGAGAGCCUUAAACCUCGGUCUAUGCGGAGAGUACAUGGUAGGGACGCGCGUCAGCUGGUGAGUCAGAAUCGUUUUGUUUCGUGUGAGAAAGCUUGCGGGAAGGUAGGUUAGCGGGGGCAACUCCAAUGACUGUUAUAGCCUGCGAGUCCUAGCAUGGAACAGAUCGAGGAUUUCAACACGCACCACUAGGUUCGAUUCCCUGACCCUGAGCUGUCAGCUGCGUUGGAUAGUAAAACUAUGCUCGUAGCGAAACGGUUUACUGGAAAGGAUGAAUCAGAUGCAGUGUUCGGGAUUCUGACGAAAUGGUUUUCAUCGACCCGUCUUGAAACACGGACCAAGGAGUCUAACAUAUAUGCGAGUAUUUGGGUGGAAAACCCUUAUGCGCAAUGAAAGUGAAGGCGCCUAGCGCUGAGGUAGGAACCUGCAUCUUCGGGUGUAGGGGCACUAUCGACCGAUCGUCACUUGUGAUAGAUUUGAGUAUGAGCAUAUCUGUUGGGACCCGAAAGAUGGUGAUCUAUGCCUGAACAGGGCGAAGCCAGGGGAAACUCUGGUGGAGGCUCGUAGCGAUACUGACGUGCAAAUCGUUCGUCUGAUUUGGGUAUAGGGGCGAAAGACUAAUCGAACCAUCUAGUAGCUGGUUCCCUCCGAAGUUUCCCUUAGGAUAGCUGGAACUUAUACAGUUUUAUCAGGUAAAGCUAAUGAUUAGAGGUCCUAGAGUUGAAACAACUUUAACCUAUUCUCAAACUUUAAAUAGGUAAGAAGCCUGUGGUUACUUAACUGAACCCGGGCCUCGAAUGGAAGUUCUUAGUGGGCCAUUUUUGGUAAGCAGAACUGGCGAUGCGGGAUGAACCGGACGCUGACUUAAAGUGCCGAACUAUUCGCUCAUCAGAUCCCUCAAAAGGUGUUGGUUCAUUUAG
rnacentral:rRNA from 1 species